GGGUAGACUGGGUAUGGAUAGACUGGGUAAGGGUAGACUGGGUAGGUGGGGUAGACUGGGUAGGGGUAGAUUGGGUAGGUGGGGUAGACUGGGUAAGGGUAGACUGGGUAGGUAAGGGUAGACUGGGUAGGUAAGGGUAGACUGGGUAGGUAAGGGUAGACUGGGUAGGUAAGGGUAGACUGGGUAGGUAAGGGUAGACUGGGUAGGUAAGGGUAGACUGGGUAGGUAGGGGUAGACUGGUGGGGGGGGGUUGCCCGGGAAGGUGUUGGGUUGUAUUGAGUAGAAAGCAGUGUUGUUUAGACCUGGGCUCAAUCAAGAGUUGUUUUCUUCUCAAGUUCUUGCAGUGUUUGCCUGAACCUGUCUGAAGUCCUUUUGACGACUACAUAUUCCAUAGCCUCUGUUGUAC
ensembl:lncRNA